AACUUUUAAGACAACCCUUCAAGUCUAUGUGGCACAAUAUUAUAAAUAAAAUAUUUUAUUAUAGUUACCAAAAGGGACAUUAGACACCCGCAUAAUCCAACUCAUCCACCCUCGCUGUGCGCCUGCUCUGGCCGGAUCUCCAUCCUCUCGCAUCCAAAACCAGCAUCAACACCACCCACCAAUAAGAAAAAGGCACGUGAGGAUCAUGACUCUGAAUCAGCUACUGGGUCGGCUACCGACUAGUGUUCCGUUUUGAGCCAUUGAGUAUUGCUGUGGAGUGGAGGGACAUUGAAGCCGCACAAUGUUUGGUGUCUUUGGCUAUAAAGUGUGGGUUUAGGGAAUCAGGGAUUCCAAGUGCUGAUGGCAAGAGGGUUAUUGAGUGGGGGUUCUAUAAGAAUGGAGGUUCCAUGGAGUGAUAGUAAUAGGAUUCUGUUGUCAAAAGAGUGUGUGAGGUUUCCCGUUGACUUGGCUCAUCAGAAAAUUGGAAGAGAACUCGAGCGUUUUUUAGUUGUUUAAGAGAAAACAGCAAAUGGGUUUGUGGAGUUCACAGUCUUUGAGCAGCAACAAGGGGAUGAUGAUCAGCUGGAGAGAACAGCAAAUAGGGAUGGUAAUGUCCUCAUUGAUAAUGUUCAUUAAUUUGCAGAGCUCUGAUUCUGGAUGUUACUUUAGUUGUCUUGAGGAUGAAGACGUUGGUGAUGAAGGCGUGAGAUGCUGCUGGUUGAAUGGAAGCUCCCUCCGCUGUGCUUUAUCGUUUUCGUCUCUGUGUUAGGCUCGUUUGCCUUCCCUGGUUGUGUUUCUCAUCAUUCGUUCCUUCUCACCCCCUGUAUUUUUUAGUCUUCUCCUUCGUUCCCCCCUGUUCUCUGUUUCUCUUUUUUUCUCUUCGUUAUUCCCUGUUCUCUGUUUUUAUCUUCGUCCCUUCUGCCUUUCUUCCCUUCAUGUACUGUGUUUGCUUUGUUCUUUUUUUUUUAAAAAAAAAAACACCCUCCCUAUAGCAAGAGAAUGCCAUGCGGUUACCCAGAUAAUAAAGAGCUUAUGGGACUGUUAUUGCAGAAGUUUGAAAUUCUACAGAAGGUAACGUUGUGUAUGUGCAACAACACAGGUCGAGCUUUUAAUACCUCCAUCACUGCCAUCGGGCCACUCCCACCGCCUCCUCCACUCAGUUCUUAAAAAAAAAAAAGCAAAGAUGGGGUUUGUGAGGGUCUACACAAAACCACAGCACUGUGGCGUUGGUCAUGCUCUACGAUGAGGUUGCGGUCUAUUUCUCCUCAGACAUACUCAGCAAUUUCUUGAAGAUUUAAACCUGGAAUGCUUUCAAGAGAAUGGGUGGGGCAAAUCAACAGAGCAUGCCAUGAUAUAGCUCCAACAGCCAACCAUUAAAAAGUCCAAGUGGUUAGAACUUUGUGGCUUUCGCGUCUCCUAGAACAACUGUUGUUGACAAAAACCAGGGAAAUGAAAACAAAUUCCAAGAUCCUCAUAAUGUUGAUAAAAAAAAGGGUUUUAAUGUUUAAGGUCAUGGGUGACAGUACAGUGCUGGUUUAUGAAAGACUAAUUCAAUUGCAUCUUUA